rnacentral:rRNA from 1 species
UACGUAGGGGGCAAGCGUUGUCCGGAAUUAUUGGGCGUAAAGAGCGCGUAGGCGGUCUGAUAAGUCGGUUGUGAAAGUCGGGGGCUCAACCCUCGGAUGCCGAUCGAUACUGUCAGGCUAGAGUCCGGAAGAGGCGAGUGGAAUUCCUGGUGUAGCGGUGAAAUGCGCAGAUAUCAGGAGGAACACCAAUGGCGAAGGCAGGUCUCUGGGCCACUACUGACGCUGAGAAGCGAAAGCAUGGGGAGCGAACAGG